AGUGUACAUUAAAAAAUUUAACCAAAAUAUAAGCCCAAAAAUAUCUAUAUACAAAGUUUUAAGUUUAGCUAAAAAAAUGGUUCAAUAUUUUGAUGAAUUGUUCUGAAAAUUAUACACACUUUCCUUCCUAAGGUGAAAAAUCUGCAGAGACCCAGGUGGACAAUGAUUGUCCUGAUUGGGCCCUGAUCCAGACUUUGGACACAGCUGGUCUGUGAUCAGGUGUUAAUGCAGCAAACAGGGAGGAGGACCAGGAGGAGAAGGAGGAGGAGGAGAAGACGGUGGCAGUUCAUCAGCAUGAAGUCACGACUGGGUUUCUCCAUGUUGGUUUUUGUGACACGGAUGUAGCUGUCAGAUGUUUGCUGACUGUGGGGAUGGAUGUCAGCAGGUUGCUAGACAACUUGUGAACCCGGUGGUGUUUGUGUGUUUGAAGAGCCACAGGGUAAAUAUUUCAUCUGGCAGUGAACACACCAAUCGCACGGGAACAACGAGGAGACGGAACAAAUGACGUCUAAAUAUACUCCGGUGACAAACAGUCCAAAUACAGUAGCAACCCAACUGUGAUGAGGGGGUGGUGCUGAGGAGAGAGCAGAGCUCCAGCUCCAAAGUCCUGCUCUCAGAUCUGGACUCAGUCACUCAGUCAGUCAGGAGGAGGUGGAGGAGGAGGAGGAGGAGGAGAAGAACAGGAGGA